rnacentral:misc_RNA from 1 species
UCUUUUAGGUCUGCCUAACCAUCACCUUCUAACUUCAAUCCUAGAAAGAAGAGAAAACCUAAAAGAAAAAAAAGGGAUUAUCUCAUUAAUGGCAUCCAACAAUGAACAGCAAAAUCAGGCAGGCAGGCACCAAGAAGUUGGCCACAAGAGCCUUCUGCAGAGUGAUGCACUUUACCAGUACAUACUUGAGACAAGUGUGUACCCAACAGAGCCUGAACCCAUGAAGGAGCUGAGGGAGCUAACUGCCAAGCACCCCUGGUUUUUGUUUCUUGAUCCAGAGUCUCAAUAAUGUUGAAAUGUUUCUAGGGUUUUUUCUUAUUGUUUAAUAAAUUUGAUUUGUGUGAAUGAAUAUAGGAACAUAAUGACUACAUCAGCAGAUGAAGGGCAGUUCUUGAACAUGCUUUUGAAGCUUAUGAAUGCAAAGAACACCAUGGAAAUUGGUGUAUACACUGGAUAUUCUCUCUUGGCAACUGCUCUUGCUCUUCCUGAUGAUGGAAAGGUAGUUUAUAGAAUCAAAUCUCAGAAAUCCAGAUGCAGAACGAUUCUUUAAUUUGGGAAAACUCACAGUUAUGAAACAUUUUGCAUCAAUGAGUUUUGAUUAGUUGAUUAAUGUGCGGUGUUGUUUUGUUGCAGAUCCUGGCGAUGGACAUAAACAGAGAGAACUAUGAGUUGGGUCUGCCUGUUAUCCAGAAAGCAGGUGUUGCUCACAAGAUUGAAUUCAGGGAAGGGCCUGCUUUGCCUGUUCUUGACCAAAUGAUUGCUGAAGUAAGAAUUUUCUUUAUGUUUUAUUAACCAAAACAAAAUUCCUUCUGAAAAAAACCCAAAAUGAAAUAAAUAAUGAAAUUAGAAAAUAACAUCAGGUUUUCUUUCUUCUCUUCGCUUCGCGGGACAUGAAUUUAUCAAGGAAAUUUUCAAAAAAAAAAAUCUGAGAUUUAUUAUUAUUUUUUUUUUUUUCAAAUAUAUAUACAGAUAGGUAUU